rnacentral:antisense_RNA from 1 species
CGUUAUGGCGGCUGUGCGCGGGGCACCUUCGGGUGCGCCGGGUUGCCUUGAGACCGGUUGACCAACCUGCGUGCAGUCGCCACCCAU